UCAAGAAACUUCCACAAUGGGCGAAAGCCUGAUGGAGCGACGUCGCGUGAUGGACGAAGUGCUUCGGCACGUAAACAUCUUUUAUGUGGGAUGAAAUUAUUGACAGUACCACAUGAAUAGGGGGCUCCUAACUCUGUGCCAGCAGGAGCGGUAAUACAGAGGCCCCAAGCGUUAUCCGGAAUCACUGGGCGUAAAGGGUGUCGAGGCGGUUGUAUUAGUCGUUCGUAAAAUCUACGAGCUUAACUUGUAGGCGGCGAACGAAACGGUACGACUUGAGGUUUGGAGAGGUGCGUGGAACUCACGGUGUAGGGGUGAAAUCCGUUGAUAUCGUGGGGAACACCAAAGGCGAAGGCAGCGCACUGGCCAAAAUCUGACGCUCACACACGAAAGCUAGGGUAGCGAAGAGGAUUAGAUACCCCAGUAGUCCCUGAGCGGGCUGGCAAGGCGCAU
rnacentral:rRNA from 1 species